AUUGAACGCUGGCGGCAUGCCUUACACAUGCAAGUCGAACGGUAACAGGUCUUCGGAUGCUGACGAGUGGCGAACGGGUGAGUAAUACAUCGGAACGUGCCUAGUAGUGGGGGAUAACUACUCGAAAGAGUGGCUAAUACCGCAUGAGAUCUACGGAUGAAAGCAGGGGAUCGCAAGACCUUGUGCUACUAGAGCGGCCGAUGGCAGAUUAGGUAGUUGGUGGGAUAAAAGCUUACCAAGCCGACGAUCUGUAGCUGGUCUGAGAGGACGAUCAGCCACACUGGGACUGGGACACGGCCCAGACUCCUACGGGAGGAAGCAGUGGGGAAUUUUGGACAAUGGGCGCAAGCCUGAUCCAGCAAUGCCGCGUGCAGGAUGAAGGCCUUCUGGUUGUAAACUGCUUUUGUACGGAACGAAAAGCCCUGGGUUAAUACCCUGGGGUCAUGACGGUACCGUAAGAAUAAGCACCGGCUAACUACGUGCCAGCAGCCGCCGUAACAC
rnacentral:rRNA from 1 species